AGUAACGCGUGGGUAACCUGCCCUUUUGUGGGGGAACAACUUCGAGAAAUCGGAGCUAAUACCGCAUAAUAAUAGAGGAUCGCAUGAUUCUUUAAGGAAAGAUGGCCUCUGAAGAUGCUAUCGCAAAAGGAUGGACCCGCGUCUGAUUAGCUAGUUGGAAGGGUAACGGCCUACCAAGGCAACGAUCAGUAGCCGGCCUGAGAGGGUGAACGGCCACAUUGGGACUGAGACACGGCCCAAACUCCUACGGGAGGCAGCAG
rnacentral:rRNA from 1 species